rnacentral:rRNA from 1 species
GACGAACGCUGGCGGCGUGCUUAACACAUGCAAGUCGAACGGAAAGGCCCUGCUUUUGUGGGGUGCUCGAGUGGCGAACGGGUGAGUAACACGUGAGUAACCUGCCCUUGACUUUGGGAUAACUUCAGGAAACUGGGGCUAAUACCGGAUAGGAGCUCCUGCUGCAUGGUGGGGGUUGGAAAGUUUCGGCGGUUGGGGAUGGACUCGCGGCUUAUCAGCUUGUUGGUGGGGUAGUGGCUUACCAAGGCUUUGACGGGUAGCCGGCCUGAGAGGGUGACCGGCCACAUUGGGGCUGAGAUACGGCCAAGACUCCUACGGGAGGCAGCAGUGGGGAAUAUUGCACAAUGGGCGGAAGCCUGAUGCAGCAACGCCGCGUGCGGGAUGACGGCCUUCGGGUUGUAAACCGCUUUCGCCUGUGACGAAGCGUGAGUGACGGUAAUGGGUAAAGAAGCACCGGCUAACUACGUG